UGGGGAAUAUUGCACAAUGGGCGAAAGCCUGAUGCAGCGACGCCGCGUGAGGGAUGACGGCCUUCGGGUUGUAAACCUCUUUCAGCAGGGAAGAAGCGAAAGUGACGGUACCUGCAGAAGAAGCGCCGGCUAACUACGUGCCAGCAGCCGCGGUAAUACGUAGGGCGCAAGCGUUGUCCGGAAUUAUUGGGCGUAAAGAGCUCGUAGGCGGUUAGUCGCGUCUGCUGUGAAAACUCGAGGCUCAACCUCGGGCUUGCAGUGGGUACGGGCUGACUAGAGUGCGGUAGGGGUGACUGGAAUUCCUGGUGUAGCGGUGGAAUGCGCAGACAUCAGGAGGAACACCGAUGGCGAAGGCAGGUCACUGGGCCGCAACUGACGCUGAGGAGCGAAAGCAUGGGGAGCGAACAGGAUUAGAUACCCUGGUAGUCCAUGCCGUAAACGUUGGGCACUAGGUGUGGGGUCCAUUCCACGGAUUCCGUGCCGCAGCAAACGCAUUAAGUGCCCCGCCUGGGGAGUACGGCCGCAAGGCUAAAACUUAAAUGAAUUGACGGGGUCAUAGCUGUUUCCU
rnacentral:rRNA from 1 species